rnacentral:rRNA from 1 species
UACGUAGGGGGCAAGCGUUGUCCGGAAUUAUUGGGCGUAAAGGGCUCGUAGGCGGUCCGUCACGUCGGGAGUGAAAACUCAGGGCUCAACCCUGAGCGUGCUUCCGAUACGGGCGGACUAGAGGUAUGCAGGGGAGAACGGAAUUCCUGGUGUAGCGGUGGAAUGCGCAGAUAUCAGGAGGAACACCGGUGGCGAAGGCGGUUCUCUGGGCAUUACCUGACGCUGAGGAGCGAAAGCAUGGGGAGCGAACAGG